GCGGGGAGGAGACUGUGAUGGUUAAGAGUGGGGCAAGGAGUACCUGCAUGAACUGAAGUACCAUCUUCCAGAACCAUCUUCCUUGCCCCAGAAUCUUCAGCAAAGAGUGGAAACAUGUGUGGUGUGAAUAAAAAUGCAAAGCAUCCACCAGAGCGUGUUGUUGCUCCGGUAACUCCGGGGAACAUGGGCACGCAGGACCCCGGAGAGGCUAGCAGUAAACGGGAACUUGAGCGCACGGCGGCCCUUUGAUCCUGGCGCCUGCAGCCCUGAUCGAUGAUGGCCUCACAAUUCAUUUCCUUGUCACUGUGACAUCACCUCUUUGGAACUUUUUCUGAAAUGGAUGGAAGCUGAGAAGAUGCUGGCUCAAGGCUGGGUCCCUUCCCCCAGCCAGCAUGAGGCAAAAGCUGAGGGAGGCAUCGAAGGCUGAACAGCCUGGCCUAAAAUGGCCCAUGAAGUGACUGGAGGUGGGAGGAAGCAGAAGCAAAGCCACUAAGCAAUCAAAAGAAGUGAGGCAUGUUCACUGAGGAACAGCCUUCAUGUCUCUUAAGCUAUCGCUGGGGUCUCUGUAGUUCACUUGCUGUAGAUCAGGCCUGCUCAACUUAGGCCCCCCAGCUGUUUUUGGACUACAACUCCCAUAAUUCUCAGCCACAGCAGCCAAUAGCCAGGAAUUAUGGGAAUUGUAGGCCAAUAUCUGCAGGAGGGCCGAAGUUGAGCAGGCCUGCUGUAGGUGGAGGGCCUCAAUAUGUCUGAGAGAGCAUCUGCUUUCGCCAACUGGCCAGGGCCCUGUACUGAGGGAGCAAAGAAUAGAUUGCAGUGCUGGCUGUCAGUUAACCAUAGUGGGUUUGGGCCCCGCCAACUGCCCAACUUUUCCAACUUCUGGUACCCGCUCUGAAUGGCCUCCAGCAGAGGGGCUGAAUCAAUCACUAGCCUCAAGCAAAAGAGGAACGUAACUCAAAGGAUGGACUGUUAAGACCAGGCUUCUGGUUGCCCAAUAAAGAGUUAAUUUGUUUCCCUCCAAACUGGUCAGGCAUGGUUGAGGCAAGCCACCAGUUCAGGUAGCAAAUAUCAUGGACACCUAGCGAGCCCCCCGAGGGAGGAGCUGUCACAAAAUCUUCACUCCUUGUUGGCUGAGUGAGUGGCCUGACUGAAGUGGGAUGGAGAACACAGUCUCCUGUGUGACAGUACCAAGUCUGAGGUGAUGGGAGGUUUUGUGAGAAAUGUCAAAAAAUUUAGCCUAAAAUCCUUACUAGGAGGUAGAUGUACCUGUUGUUGUUUUUGAUUUGCCCAUCAUUUUCCCUCUUAACCCUUGAAAUUCCUUAUUCCUGUUUAGUGUCCAAUAAAUAAGAAGGCUUUAAUUGUUAAA